rnacentral:rRNA from 1 species
AUACGGAGGGUGCAAGCGUUAAUCGGAAUUACUGGGCGUAAAGCGCGCGUAGGCGGCUUGAUAAGUCGGAUGUGAAAUCCCCGGGCUUAACCUGGGAAUUGCAUUCGAUACUGUCAGGCUAGAGUGUGGUAGAGGGAAGUGGAGUUUCCGGUGUAGCGGUGAAAUGCGUAGAUAUCGGAAAGAACAUCAGUGGCGAAGGCGGCUUCCUGGAUCAACACUGACGCUGAGGUGCGAAAGCGUGGGGAGCAAACAGGAUUAGAAACCCCGGUAGUCC